rnacentral:rRNA from 1 species
CAGACCUCUGAUCAGGAAAGA